rnacentral:rRNA from 1 species
GACGAACGCUGGCGGCGUGCUUAACACAUGCAAGUCGAACGGACAGGCCCUGCUUUUGUUGGGUUCUCGAGUGGCGAACGGGUGAGUGACACGUGAGUAUCCUGCCCUUGACUUUGGGAUAACUUCAGGAAACUGGGGCUAAUACCGGAUAGGAGCUCCUGCUGCAUGUUGGGGGUUGGAAAGUUUCGGCGGUUGGGGAUGGACUGGCGGCUUAUCAGCUUGUUGGUGGGGUAGUGGCUUACCAAGGCUUUGACGGGUAGCCCGCAUGAGAGCGGGACCGGGCACAAGGGGCCUGAGGGAGGGCCCAGAAGCGUACGGGAGGCAACAGGCGGGAGUAUGGCACAAUGGCGGGAAGCGUGAGGCAGAAACGCCGCGUGCGGGAUGACGGCCUUCUGGUUGAAAACCGCUUUCGCCGGUGACGAAGCGGGAGUGACGGUAAUGGGUAAAGAAGCACCGGCUAACUACGUG